GUCUAUGGCCAUACCACCCUGAAUGCACCCAACCGUGUCUGACCUAGGAAGUUAAGCAGGUUUGGGCCUGGUUAGUACUUGGAUGGGAGACUGUCUGGAAAUAUCAGGUGCUUUGGGCU
ensembl:rRNA 5S_rRNA 5S ribosomal RNA